CAAUAGCGUAUAUUGAAGUUGUUGCGGUAAAAAAGCUCGUAGUUGGAUUUCUACCGAAGAUAGCCGGUCGGGUCUUCGACCUUGUAUCUGGUUUUGUCUUUGGUAUCCUCAUAGGGAACGUUUCUGCGCUUUAUUGCGUGGUGCGGUAUCUAUGACUUUUACUUUGAGGAAAUUAGAGUGUUCACGGCAGGCAAACGCCUUGAAUAUAUUAGCAUGGAAUAAUAACAUAGGAUCUUCGUCCUAUUUUGUUGGUUUCUAGGGCUAAGAUAAUGAUUAAUAGGGAUAAUUGGGGGCAUCUGUAUCAACGCGUCAGAGGUGGAAUUCUUGGAUUGCGUUGCGACAAACUACUGCGAAAGCAUUUGCCAAGGAUGUUUUCAUUGA
rnacentral:rRNA from 1 species